CACAUCUUAAAGGAGUUCAUAUUUACUUCCUGAGAAGUGAUGGUGGGAGACUAUUUGGAUGGCGAAUGGUCACCUUGCUAUGGGAAAAAAGCACCAUCUUCCUUUUGGACAAUCUUCGAUAGGGUAGUGGCAUACCUGCUCUGCAGCCAACAAAUUCAAAAGCCUAUCAAUCAAUGGACAAGUGAAAGUAUUAACGACAUCUGCCACCAUGUUGGCUAUGAGUCCUUGAGAUCUUGCCUG